UUUGUUUCAAAUCAUCCAUUACUAUUGACUAAGUUCAACUACUUUUUUUAACCAUUUUUAUUUUCAUGUGUUGAUUGUCUCACUGACUGCAGGAAGAUCAUCAUUCAAGACUAGAGACCAUGUUGAACUUCCAUGAAUGAGACCAUGAGCAAACGUCCAAGAAGAAGAAGAAGAACCCCUCAAGGAUAAAGUGCCGUGUUAGAACCAGUAGCUAAAACACAAAGCAUGCCUCCGGAAAUAACAAGUUACUCCUACUGAAGCAAGCACAGAGCUGGAUAUGGUGCCAAGUGAGUAUCGGAGGAGGACAGACGUUAUUUGUUUCCAUGACGUUUCUUCGUCUUCUUCAACUCUUAUCUGAUUUGAUCGAGCAAGUAAAGAUCGCGGAGAAACUGAUUAAAACUGAUUCUAUUGGAUUGAUGGUGUUUGACCAAGUACAGGUUUACAGACCAUGGCGAGUUUCGUCAAGAACCACCUGUGGCCUAACAUUGAUGCUCUUAGCGAAGUGCUGCUGAACUAUUAUCGUCUAACCGAAAGAAAGAGUUAGAUACUACUACACUGUGCUUUUUGGCUGUCUCAAGGAAUCUCGUCAUCUGCUCACAGCUGAUAUGGGACCGGGCUCUUGGACAGCCACUAGAGCGGCUAAAGAGUGUAAACAUGUCCUCCCAAAGGUGAAACUUUGCAACUUCGUGGGGCUCUUAAGCUCUUCUACAUCUCUCAGAGUGAGUCUGUCCCAGCUCUUGAAAAAUAUUGUCCUCUGGAGUUCCAGCCGAACAAGUUUGAGAGAUAAGAGACAGAAAGAGAUCGUUCUAAUGGCGACAAGAGAGCAACAUGAUGAUGGUUCGAAUCUACUACUCAACAGAAUCCAUGAAUUGUAUGGAGAUUUUUGGGUUCCUGCAGCUUUGAACCUCAAAGCCAUGGGUUCCUUAUCCCACAUAGAGUAUCUAUCUAUAGUCCAAUAUUACUCGGUCAGGGUUCCGAGCCAACACUGCAGUCAAGCAAUGGCCAAGGAGAUGGCCUUGUUAGCCUUCAAUCGGGCUCUUAACCAGAGGUCAAGGAGAUCAUCAUUGAAGGAGGUAGAGAGCAUGUACAACUAAUUCCAUAAACGACACCAUUCUAUGAGCCAACGUCCAAGAAGCAGAAGAAGAAGAACACCUCCAGGGACCUGAGACGAAGUGAAAUUGAUGAUGAUGUUCUUAUUCUCGUAGUGUCACCACAUUGCUAUAGGCUGACAUCCUUGUUCGGGGUUAUGUUGGUUUGCCUUGAAGGUCUUAGACCAAGUCUUCCCAAAGGUCUUAGACCAAGUCUUCCCAAAGAUCAUGAGGAACCAAGAUUACUGUGUGGGAGGUUCGGAGAGAAAGAAAAAUCAUUGUGGGAGUGCGUUUGAUUUCUGAGUUUAACUUUCAGAUGAUGUUCUUGCUGUGUACACACAUUCAGA